AUGUGUGUGCGCACGCAUGUUACUCGGUUCAUCGAACAAUGUGGUAAUAGCUGCAUCUCUACUGCUCCUUUUCCUGCAGUGACUGAUGUCGCAGGAGUAAUUGUUGAUGUUGGUCCUGGAGUGAAUGGUCUCACAGCGGGUGAUCAAGUUGUCGCCAAGUUGAACUCUCUUAAUGGAGGUGGACUUGCAGAGUACGCGGUAGCACCCGCAAACCUGACUGUCAAAAGGCCAGCUAAGGUUUCUGCAGCUGAGGGUGCUGGCCUUCCCAUUGCUGCAGGCACUGCGCUCCAGGCACUGAGGUCCAUUGGGGCCAAGUUUGACGGCACCGGCAAGCCUCUGAAUGUGUUGAUCACCGCUGCCUCCGGUGGUGUAGGCCUGUACGCGGUGCAGCUUGCGAAGCUGGCGAACCUUCAUGUCACCGCCACCUGCGGCGCCCGCAACAUGGAUCUUGUGAAGAGCUUGGGCGCGGACGAGGUGAUGGACUACAGGACCCCAGAGGGAGCGACCCUGCAGAGCCCCUCCGGCCGGAAGUACGACGGCGUGGUUCACUGCACCGUCGGUGUCAGCUGGUCGUCUUUCCAGCUGUUGCUGAGUGACGCCGGGAGAGUGAUAGAUGUCACCCCGAACUUGUCAGCCAUCCUCACAUAUGUGCUGCACAGGGUGACAUUCUCCAAGAAGCGCCUCGUGCCCCAGCUUCUCCUGUCCCUCAACAAGGCAGACCUGGAGUUCUUGGUCGGGUUGCUCGAGGAAGGCAAGCUGAAGACGGUGAUCGACUCGAGGUUCCCGUUGAGUGACGCAGGCAAGGCGCGGCAGAGCAGUAUCGAUGGCCAUGCCACUGGCAAGAUUGUCGUUGAGAUGGAGAGCUGA
rnacentral:rRNA from 1 species